rnacentral:rRNA from 1 species
ACGAACGCUGGCGGCGUGCUUAACACAUGCCAGUCGAACGGAAAGGCCCUGCUUUUGUGGGGUGCUCGAGUGGCGAACGGGUGAGUAACACGUGAGUAACCUGCCCUUGACUUUGGGAUAACUUCAGGAAACUGGGGCUAAUACCGGAUAGGAGCUCCUGCUGCAUGGUGGGGGUUGGAAAGUUUCGGCGGUUGGGGAUGGACUCGCGGCUUAUCAGCUUGUUGGUGGGGUAGUGGCUUACCAAGGCUUUGACGGGUAGCCGGCCUGGGAGGGUGACCGGCCACAUUGGGACUGAGAUACGGCCCAGACUCCUACGGGAGGCAGCAGUGGGGAAUAUUGCACAAUGGGCGGAAGCCUGAUGCAGCAACGCCGCGUGCGGGAUGACGGCCUUCGGGUGGUAAACCGCUUUCGCCUGUGACGAAGCGUGAGUGACGGUAAUGGGUAAAGAAGCACCGGCUAACUACGU